rnacentral:rRNA from 1 species
GACGAACGCUGGCGGCGUGCUUAACACAUGCAAGCCGAACGCUGAAGCUUGGUGCUUGCACUGGGUGGAUGAGUGGCGAACGGGUGAGUAAUACGUGAGUAACCUGCCCUUGACUCUGGGAUAAGCCUGGGAAACUGGGUCUAAUACUGGAUACGACAUGUCACCGCAUGGUGGUGUGUGGAAAGGGUUUUACUGGUUUUGGAUGGGCUCACGGCCUAUCAGCUUGUUGGUGGGGUAAUGGCUCACCAAGGCGACGACGGGUAGCCGGCCUGAGAGGGUGACCGGCCACACUGGGACUGAGACACGGCCCAGACUCCUACGGGAGGCAGCAGUGGGGAAUAUUGCACAAUGGGCGGAAGCCUGAUGCAGCGACGCCGCGUGAGGGAUGACGGCCUUCGGGUUGUAAACCUCUUUCAGCACGGAAGAAGCGAAAGUGACGGUACGUGCAGAAGAAGCGCCGGCUAACUACGUG